CCGGAGAAGUUCAAACCUAUAAAAGGACCUUCAAGGAACUUGGAAAGACUACUAAGGACAAGAACCCUUAGGCAAGAUAGGAACCGUUAACUUUUGGGGAUGAAAGUUCUUAAGAGGGGGAGGUUACGGAAGACCCCAAGAUAAAAACACUCGAGUAGGUUUAAAGAGGCUAAACAAGUUUCCCUAACUCGAGUUCCAUGGUCCUUGGAGGGAAGAUUUUUUUAAAUUCCAAUUGGAGACUAGUAUCGGGUUCUUCAAAAUUAAAGAGCCAUAGUUAAACAUUUUGCCCCAAAUCAAUUCCUACAACUUCUAAAUGAGUUUCCUAACGAGUUUCAUAAAGGAUCAGAGAGUUGAGCCCAAACAAGUUUCCUUAAUUCAUGUUCCAUGGCCCAUGAAAUGAGGAAUCUUUGAAAUUCCAAUUGGAGGCUACAAGAAAAUUCGUUCGUCCAAACCAGUUCCAUUGACUUUUGGGCUGCCAAAGAUGAGUUUCCAUGAAAACCACGAAGCUAAAGGAGCGUCUGAAUCAAAGGGAAUCGAAGAAAGUUCAUUACGGGCCAAUUUGGAGUAAUCCAAAGUUCAGUACCUUACUCAUUAGCUUCGUGGCAAUGAGAGAGAAAUUUUUCAUGAAGAAAUUGGAAGCUAAAGAUGUCCAUAUCGUUCUACCCAAUAAACUUAAGAAUCAGAUGGAAAAUGAUUAAGAAGUUGAGAGAUCAAACUUGAAAUUGGGAGCAUCCACACUAUUUCUUGAACCGGAGAAAAGAAGAUCAAGAGAUUUCAUGAAGGAAUCGGGGUGAGAUAAGGUCGUAUGGCCCCAACCAAUAAUAAUUUUUUUUUAUUUUGAUCCCAUAAGGAUUAGUUUUCUGCAAACUUCUAUGGUUAAUAACUUGAGCUACAUGCAUGCCAA